rnacentral:rRNA from 1 species
CCUACGGGUGGCAGCAGUCGGGAAUAUUGCGCAAUGGAGGAAACUCUGACGCAGCGACGCCGCGUAGAGGAAGAAGGUUUUCGGAUUGUAAACUAUUGUCGGUAGGGAAGAGAAAAGACUGUACCUAAGGAGGCAGCCCCGGCCAACUAUGUGCCAGCAGCCGCGGUAAUACAUAGGGGGCAAGCGUUAUCCGGAAUUAUUGGGUGUAAAGGGUGCGUAGACGGAAGAACAAGUUGGUUGUGAAAUCCCUCGGCUCAACUGGGGAACUACAACCCAAACUCUUCUCCUGGAGUGUCGGAGAGGGAAGUGGAAUUCCUAGUGUAGCGGUGAAAUGCGUAGAUAUUAGGAGGAACACCAGUGGCGAAGGCGACUUUCUGGACGAUAACUGACGUUGAGGCACGAAAGUGUGGGGAGCAAACAGGAUUAGAUACCCGGGUAGUC